CAUCUGUGAACUGCUGGAGCGUGUAAAGGAGCCAGUUCUCCAGACCCACAACUGCAGGGCAACAGAUAUCUGAGCGGAGUCCCGGUGAGCCGAGUCCCGGUGAGGAUCCAGUAUAGAGAAUGUAACAGAAGCUAAAGGCCCCGAACCAGACCAAUGAUUCAUUGCAAUGAACAUUUGCAAGAAAAGAUGUGUGGACAAAAGGGUAGACUGUGGGACACCCUGCAGCUUCCAUGUUCAUUAAUGCAGUGCCUCUCUGCACUCUCACCAGUUGGGCAGGAACACAAGAAGGUCAGAGGACAACUUGUAGAAGUCAUUCUCUUCUUCCACCACGUUUGUCUCAGAUCUUAAGCUCAGGUCAAAGGCUUGGAGCACGUGGCUCCAAGCCAUGAAGCCAUAUCGUGGCACUUUCUUUUCUUCUAAAGCCUGUAUGCUGUUCAGAGACUAGGACAACAUCCUUGAAAACAAAUGGCGCUGAGGCUUGGAGUUGCACGAUUCAAGCAAGUGCCACAUGUACCCACUGGCCAGCACCUAAGACUUCCCUUUUGGCUUUAAGAAUAUCUGUAUUGAGUCAGGCAGUGGUGGCACACACCUGUGAUCCCAGCACUCUGGGAAGCAGAGGCAGGAGGAUCGCUUUGAGUUCGAGAAAAUCUCCCAAGCCUGCGAUGAAGAGCAACUAUCCAAAACAACAUUUCAAGAUUGAGAGCAGGGGCUGGAGAGAUGGCUCAGAAGUUAAGAGCAUUGGCUGCUCUCCCAGAGGACCCAGGUUCAAUUCCCAGAACCCACAUGACAGCUCACAACUGUCUGUAACUCCUGUUCUAGGGGAUCUGACUCGAACAUGCAGGCAAAGCACCAAUGUAGAUAAUAAAAAUAAAUAAAUAAUUUUAAAAAAGA